AAUAGCGUUGUGGUUGGGGCACCUGGGUGGCUCGUCCGUUAAAUGUCUGACUUCAACUCAGGUCAUGGUCUCGCGGUCUGUGAGUUUGAGCCCUGUACCGGGCAAUGCGCUGACAGCUUAGAGCCUGGAUCCUGCUUCAGAUUCUGUGUUUCCCUCUCUCUCUGCCCCUCCCCCACUCGUGCUCUGUUUCUCUCAUUCUCAAAAAUAAAUAAUAAAACAUUAAAAAUUUCUUAAAAAUUAAAAUGAAAACAAUAGCACUGUGGCUAUUUGUGAUAGAGAGCAUAAGAAAUAUCAAUGCGAUGAGUUAAGUGUCAAUUUCUUUUCUUCCCCAGGGUUGCAGAAAACAGAAACCAACUCCAGCUAGUUCCCAUGAAAGGAAUUUAUUGAUAGGACACCCGGGUCCUGACAUCUAAGAGUUAAAAUAACCAGUCUUUGGAUGAGCCAGAGCCAGGCAACUCCAGGGCCCUCAGAAAAGGACAAUUAUGGACUUCUCUAGAACACUGACAUCCAUAUUUCUCAUUUUUAGUGACCUGUAGUGUCAGAUGGAUGAGCUCUGGCCAGGAAGGUAGGGUCCAUGAUUGCUAGAGGACCCUCGUCUGUAUCAGGGGCAAUUCCCAAGGCAAGGGGAAUAUUAGGAGCUAGUAAAUUUUUAAGGCUUUAAUGAGGUGUAAUUGUCAUAUAAUAAACUGUACCUAUCUAGAAUGUACAAAUGGAUGUAUUUUCAUAUAUACACAAAAUUAUAUACAAUUAUAUUUAUGUUAUAUAUUAUAUCUAUUUAUCAGGAAAACUAUAACUGUGAUGAAAAUAAUGAAUAUAUCCAUCAUCCUUGAAAGUUUCUUUGUGCUCCUCUGUAUUCCCCCUCUCCUACCUCUCUGUGCUCCUCUACCUGUUCCCAGCCAAUCACUGAUCUGCUUCUGUCGCUAUAGAUUAAUUUGCAUUUUCCAGAAUUGUGUAUAAAUGGGAUCAUAUAAUAUGUGCUCCUUCUUGUCUGGUUUUUUUCACUUGGUAUAAUUAUUUUGAGAUUCAUCUAUGUUGUAGCUUGCAUCAGUGCUUCAUUCUUUUUCAGGGCAUGUAAUAUUCCAUUGUAUGGAUAUACCACAGUUUGUUUAUCCAUUCACUUCUUCAUGGGCAUUUAUGUUGCUUCUGAUUUGGAGCUCUUACCAAUAAACUUGCUAUGAAAAUUCAGGCACAAGUCUUUGCUUAGGUAUGUGUUUUCACUUUUCUUGGGUAAAAACCUAGGACUAGAAUGGCUGGGUCAUAUUCUAAGUGUAUAUUUAAUUUUUUCAGAACCUGCCAAGCAGUUUUCCAAAGUGGUUGUUGCAUGUGUUACAUUCCCACCAGCAAUGUAGGAGAGUUCCAGCAGUUCCAUAUCCUCACCUCCACUUGGUAUGUAUCCGGAACUUAUUUUUAGAAAACUCUCAAAGCUUAAUACUAAGAAGAGCAAUAACCCAAUUUUUAAAAAUGAGUAAAAGAUUUCAAUAGAUAAUUUGCUAAGGAAGAUAUACAGUGGCAAACAAACACAUGAAAAGAUAUUUAACAUCAUCAGUCAUUAGAGAAAUGAAAAUUAAAAGCACAAUGGCAAGCUUAUUCAAAUAGCUAACAUUCAAAGGAAGCUAAUAAUUUUACAUUAUUCUGCUGCCCAUUUUAUAGAUGAGAAAACUGAGGCUCCAGGAAUUAAGUGACUUGACCAAGCUAUCCAGUGAUAGAAUUUGAAUUUGAACCUGGGUCUGCUAACCCCUGCUUAAUCUUGAUGCUAUGCCAGCAGUAGUCCUUUGAAGUAGGCUUCACAAGCAAGAUUGAAAACAGGGGAACUCACUUAUUACUCAGGAGUACAAUUUCCAUUUUCUCUCCUGAUGAGACAGGCUACCACCACUCAUAGUGAACUUUAGGGAACUUCAAGUUUUGGUGUCUGUUUUGCCUAAAGGAUAGAUUUUGUUUUCCUAACAUCCAGCUUCGUCUAGGUGCCUCUGAGGGAAGUACUCAAAGUAUGGGGAUGCCCACCAAAGCUUCUUUGGUCCAACGAAGACAGAGGUCUGUUUAACCAUGAUCAUUACGAGAGGCUGACAAAUUUUAAUUUCUGGCUUUGUCCUACAAGGGACCACAGUAAUACUGUCAAGUGACGGGACCAUUUUUUAACAGAGCAUUCUGUGUGAACUGGUUGAAUGGAGUGCCAUGAAAGUCUUUAAUAAAUUAUAGGUGGAUUUAUGGGUUCUGCUCCGGGCCAAGAACAUCCCUGGGAAGGCUAGAAUUUAUAUGCUGUGUGUGCACUUUAAGAGCUCCUGGUAGAUGGUGCAAAGGACAAGAUAAAAAUAAAGAAGGGAAGAUAAUGAGCAAACUGCUCUUUGUUGGCAAAAAUCUUUGUUUUUCUGCCUCCAAAGUUUUCUGUAACGUUUCCAUUGACCUAGAAGCUAUUGUGCUUUCUGCUUUUUGUAGCUGCCUGUAUUCCUGGCCUUGUGGCUUCUUCUCCAUCUUCAAAGCACAUGACUGCAGUCCGUCUGCUUCUCCCUAUACAAGGAGACAUCCCCCGGAUAAUCCAGCAUUAUCUUCCCAUCUCAAGAUCCUUCGUGCAAAGGAUCCUUUUUGUCAUCUAAGGAGAAAGCACAUCCGUCCUAAGAAGAAGGCUGGUUCGUAAUCACGAGGGUAUGCAUUGCCUAUGCAAUUGAAGCAAUUGGAAGUUGAAGGAAGGGUCAAGUUUUUGACACUGAAAAUGUGUCUGUGUAUAGCAAAUCAACAGAGGAGUUCAUGUUCACAGAGUAGUGUUCACAUAUCCAAAAGCAGCACAUAAAACCACAUCUUCUCUUUCUGAGUCCAACUUGCGAAUCGGAAGCCAUUUCUGUGGAGGCAGAACUCCAUCCAUGAUGCAACAGGUGAGGAAUAGCUUCAUAAUUUUCAGAUUAGCAGACUUUCUCUGCUAAUGUCUCACUAAUUACCAUGUAGACUUAGCAUUGAACCAUAAUUAUUAUCAGUUAAUUAGACCUUAAAAUGUAUCUUUGAUAACACCUCUGGCAUUUAAUUAUGUAACUGGUAACUUAUGAAUGUUAUUAAGGGGAUAUAUGACUACACUAACGUGUAAUUAGAUCUCGUUUUUGUUUCUUGAUAUCAUAUUGAUUCUGAUAAUAGGGUUGGAGUUUUUACAGCUUAUAUGAAAAUGGUCAUAUUAAAUUGAUAGUCUAUAAAACAAAUGCACAUGUUAGCAAAUAUUUAAUAAGCAUAUUAAAAGAAAGAGUCUGUGGGAGAAAGAAAAGUGGAGAUUAUUCUUGGUAUCAUUUUAAGAAGUUCAUAGCAAAUACAUUGCCUGUUUUCAAGGCCACUUUCUGCCUAAAAACAAACAGCAUUCAAGAAUUCAUGUAAUAAAAGAAAUUAGUUCCUACUGUUGGAAAACAGAAAAAAAAAACCUACCAAACUGUUUUCAAUAUUGUGAGAGUAACAAAUACGUGUCCCCAAAGCUUUAUGCACCUCGACUCAUUUUUUGAAUGUCCUAUUGUCAUUUAGGAAAUGUUCAGCAAUCUUUUUGUAAAAUGAAGAAUCUCUUUUUAAAAUAAUGUGGCUAAUUUCCUCUCUUUGUGGGAGAAUUAAAGUCAGCUAAAAAUCAGAUUGUCUAGUUAGAUUUUCUGGUAGAUUUCAAGCCCCUUGAGGGCAAUGUUCUGUCCCUUUUACAUCUUAUUAUCAUUUACAAUUCCUAAUGUGGUGGUUUGCACAGCGUAGGUAUUUUUUUCAGCUUUACUGAGGUAUAGCUGACAAAUAAAAUUGUUAGAUAUUUAAAGUAUACAUCGUGAUGAUUUGAGAUACAUACACAUCGUGAGAGGGUUCCUCUCAUCUAGUUAAUUAACACAUCCACUUCCUCACAUAUUUAUCUUGUUUUGUUUGUGUGUGAGAACACUUAAGGUUUACUCUCUUAGCAAAUUUCAAUUAGACAAUACAAUGUUAAUGAACUUUUGUCAUCAUGUUAUCCAUUAGAUCUUCAGAGAUGUUAUUCAUCUUAUAGCUGAAAGUUUGUACCCUUUUGCCAACCUCUUCCUAUUUCCCCAUCCCGGCAGGCCCUGGCAACCACUUUUCUACUCUCUAUGUCUUUGAGUUUGGCUCUACAUACGAGUUUGAUUCUACGUAUCAGUGAUACCAUGCAGCAUUUGUCUUUGUGUUAUCUCACUUAGCAUAAUGUUCUUAAAGUUCACUCAUGUUGUCAUAAAUGGCAGGCUGUCCUUCUUUCUCAAGGCUGAAUAAUAUUCCAUUGUGUGUAUAUACCACAUGUACUUUACCCAUUCACCUGUUGUUGGACACUUAGGUUGUUUCUAUAUCCUGGCUAUUGUGAAUAGUGCUGCCAUGAACACGGGAGUGAGAUAUUACAAUAUUCUGUUUUCAUUUCCUUUGGAUAUAUACCAGAAGUGGGAUUGCUGGAUCAUAUGGUAUGAAUAUUCAUUGCCUGUUGAGUAAGAGAAAUUGGAGGGAAUUAAAGAAACUCUGCUAUAUCUACUUUCUCUCCAAAAUGUGGAUGAUGAAACAUGCCUUAGGAAAACAAGUAAAGAUUCUGAUGUGGAAAGGGUACUCAGAGCCUGGUGAGCUGAUGGAUACUUAGUCACAGAGGAGAUUGUGGGAUUUAGAAUAAAUCUAAAACAAAUAGAUGGAUUGGUUGAUUUAUAUAGUUUUAACUCCAUAUCCUGAUUUGUAAUAAAAAUGUAAUAAAUUAGCUGGGAUUGUGGGUACUAUUUGACAUGUAACAUAGAGUAAAAGUUAUUAUCAGACAUAAAGUUUUCUCCAAGUGACCCAUCUGUAUGAACAAACUUCUAAUUACCAAACCUUUGUUCUUCGUAUUGCCCUGUGAAGUGCCCUCUUCUUCUUUCAUGCCCCAAGCCUCUAUCCAAUUCCUUAGCUCAGGAUAGUAUAUAUAAUUCCUUUGAUCUUUCUGUCUUUGAACCUCUCAUGCAUGUGGGGUUCCCACGCACACAAAAUUAAAUUUGUUUUUUUCCUGUUAAUCUGUCUUAUGUUAAUUUGAUUAUUAAACCAUCCAAAGAAUCAUGAAGAGUAAAAGAGAAAAUUCUCCUCCCCAACAUCUCCAAACCAAACAUCCAUGUGCAUGAUCUAGACAGGAAAUGUGAAGUUUCAAUCUAGAGACCAUCUGAGCAUGUUAAUUUGUAGCAGAAUGACUUUACCGUUUAAUAGCAAGUAAUCCAUUUCUGAGAAACCAUUGCAGGCAAUUGGUCCAAUUGAACUUCGUCUUUAACAUUUUACUAUGAUUUGUGUGAUUAGGCCACUGGAGGAAGUGGUUUUCAAUAGCAUGAUUAAAGCACUUUGAGGAAAUAAUUUCUGUCUUCAAGCACCUUGCGUACAUUUUUGUUUUCAAGUGUUUGUCCUUUCUCAUUAAGAGGGAGAGGCAGGAAAUGGAGAAAUAUUGACUUUUAAACAUUGUCUUGGAUUGGAAAAGAAAGAUCAAAAAAUAGCAGAGUCAAGUCAGGUCUUUAGCAGACCUGUGCAGCAUAGUUUCUUGUCUGAUGAAUCCUGGAACUUGAGGUAUAAUUAAUUCAGCAUUCUGCAGAUUUGAGAAUUUCACCCCUUUACCAAGGAUUUUUUUUUAAAUUGAGGACACUGAUGAACUUUUAAAUUUACUAAGCAAGGACAUAGUAAAAUACAAACAAACAUAACCAUCACCUACUAAGAAUCAGUUUUAUAAAAGAAGAGACAUUUUAAUGUCAGAAAUAGAGGAAGGAGUUAAUUUUAUAAUAAUGGACUAUUUUAUCCAAGAAAAUACAGUUGUUGCGUUAGUCUCAAUUUGCCAGGAGGUGAAAUUGGGUCACGGACGAGGGACAGAGUUCCCGGUUCAGAUGACUUUCUCAAAUCCAGCUCAGACUAAUUUUAUGCCAAAAAUAUUCGACUCUCUUUCUGUAUGUGCCACAGUGCCUGAAAUUAUGUCCAGAGGUCCCCAAGUAGUGUCCAAAAUCAAUAAAAUUUAUAGCCAGUAUGGAUUGUUCCACAUUUUGGGGAGUAGGAAGGAGUGUUGUCAAAAUGUAGUAGACGUGGUGAGAUUUGCAAACCUCAGAGUCAUCAUUCUGAACUGUUCCUGCCCUUUCCAAUUUAUUUUGAGAAACAGAAUCUUGUGCCCCUUCCCCACGGUGCUUUACAUCUCAACCAAAAGGAAAAGAAGAAAAGUUCUUUAUGGAGAGAGUAGGUUGUGGGUGACCUAUCUGAGUUCACCGGCUCACUGAACAGUGAUUAACAUUUAAAAUGUAUGCAAACUAGACUCCUAAUUAAAGUCCAAUAAUGUAAGACUUUGAACCUAUUCACUGCCUUUGGAAAUAAUCACAGAUGCUGGCUGCUUAUCCUGAAAAAGUCAUUAUGGUAAAUGACCAACUCCCCCACCUUCUCCUUUCCAUCAAGUGCAAAAGUGAUUCUCCAUUGCAGGAUUUGCAAAUGGUGCAUGUUGCAGAGUCAAAUGUCUCCUGGUGGCUGUAAUUGUGAUGCAAAUUAUCUUGGUUACAGGAAGAAUGAAAUUUAUAGAGCUCCUGUCAUAUGUGAAUUUGCAAGCAUGUACCAAAUUUGAAGAGGGUGGACACUCAUGUUGAUCUGAGGGGACCUCGAGAACUCUUGAUGGCAAUUUGGACAUGGCAGUGAUGAAGGAUGAAUGACCUUCCUCCCACUCUCUAUUCUUCCUCGCUUGCUUUGCUGAUUCUUUUGUGGGAGGAUGGAUAGGAGACACAGAGAGGGAAUUGAAAAAGAAUGAUGAAAUCAAAAAUAGGUCAGAAGAAAGAAAUACUCAGGAACUAAAUAUUAGUUGCAGAUCUGAAGAACUAAAGUUGAUUUGUUUGUCAAAGGUAAGGAAUGCAGGUAAGAAUCAAACUCAGCCGCAGAGGAGAAAAAAGGGAAAAGUGAGAAUCAACAUUUAUUGUGCACUUGCUAUGGGCCGGAGAUGCCAGUGGGUGUUAACCGUUUUUUCAUUUGACUUGUAUGAUAGCCUGAUGAACUAGGCUGUAUGAUUUUACAGGUGAGGAGUCUGGGGUUCAGAAAGUUGGUGUACAUGACGAAUAAGGUUCUAAUGCCUCAGAGCUAAACCUCAACUCUAAGUCCAUCUGAUUUGAAAAAUUCCUGGCCUUCCCCAGGUCCAUGUUGCCUCUCAAAAUUACUGAAAAAUACACCUUCAGAAAUGAAAUUCCAGGAAAUGUGAUUUCAGAGCUGGGGUUUCACUUUCUUAUUCACCUGGCCUUCAAUACCACAGAGACAAUGUGGCUCCCAUAACUGUUUGUGGCAGAUGCAGUUGCUGCUGUGACCAAUGCACUGUGGUCCUGGGAUGGAAUGUGAUAGAAUGUGUAACUACUGAAGGAGCUCCGGGGAGCUCUUCCGUUUGCUUCGUCAAGCCCUCUUAACCGUACUCUGUGUGGUAGAUGUGGGUGGGUAAUUUAAUGUUUACUUGCUUGAAGCAAAUAUUGAUAUGUAGUCGGCAAAUGAAAUCAUUUUCACCUUUAGUAAAUCAUUUAUUUGAUGGAGACAUUUAGAGAAUACAAGUUGUCUCUUUGAAGAUUUAUGAAUAGGAAAAGUGAUGACGAGCUGUGAAAGAAUAAAUUUUUCCCUCUAUUCUUCUCUUUUUCUUUGGUCUGGCAGGCUUUCCCAAAUAUUUGUGAGGCUCAGGACUGAGUACAAAUAGAGGCCUAGAUACCAUAUGUCUAUUUAUUUAUUUAUUUAUUUAUCAUUUUAGAGAGAGAAAGAGUGUGUGUGUGUGUAUGUAUAAGCAGGGAAGAGACGCAGAGGGAGAGAGAGAGAAUCUUAAGCAGAUGUCAGGCUCGAUCCCAUGACCCUGGGAUCAUGACCUGAGCUGAAAUCAAAAGUCAGACACUGAACCGACUGAGCCACUCAGGUGCCCCCACGUGG